UCGCUUGCUCUCACGCACACUUAGCCAUGCCACAAACCAAAUAUCCGAUAACGCAUCGCCUACCGCUGCUGCUGCUGGUGCUGUUAAUCGCCAAAAGUGCCGCUGGCGUCUCUGUUGUCUCCUCGGCUAGUCUGCUGCCCUCGACACGCUUCUUCUAUGCUGCGGCGGCGGCCCCCGCCUCAUCAGAUGCCACUUCACAGACAAAGGUGCGUCUGCUGCGGCAGGCAAAUGUUGCAGCCGGGGCAGGGGCAGGGGCAGCAGAAACAGCGGCAGUGCCGGAGGAUGAGGGAAGCUGUUGCCAGGGAGCAUCCGCAGCUGCAGGAACACCUGUAACGUUGCCAUUGGAACUUGCAACGGACCUGAGCAAUAUUACCGCCGACUACGAUGUCUCUGGCGAAAUAUCAUCCAAGGAGAACUUCAAACGCAGCGUUACCCGAUCUACCAUACGGAAAGCGACGCCCGCGAUCUGCUCACCUCAGCCCACCAUUGUGGAGCUGAAGCCGCCGAGCGAUGAGGCGGGUGGCUUCAAUGUCUACUAUACGCCUGCAUGCACGCGCAUCAAUCGCUGCAAUGGCUGCUGCGGCUCCACACUAAUCUCCUGCCAGCCCACACAGACGGAGAAGGUGCAGAUGCGUGUGGGCAAAUUCGAGCGUGGCGUCACCUCCAAGCGGAGCUCGGAAAUCAUUGUGGUGGAACAGCACUUGGCAUGCCGCUGCGAUUGCCGCAUCAAGGCCGAGGACUGCAAUGCGUAUCAGCUGUACAGAAGGGAGCUGUGCCGCUGCGAGUGCCAGAAUACGGACGCCAGAGACAAGUGCUUGGAGCAGGCAGACACCAAGUACUGGGACGAUGCCAAUUGCACCUGUGCCUGCCGCUACAACCAGAGCUGCACCACCGGCACUGUUUUCGAUGAGACGCAGUGCAAAUGCACCGAUAUCCAAAAUGUCGAGUAUUAUUCGUAAAAUUCGUUAACACACACACACACACACACACACACAAACAAACAAACACACUGUUCCACGGUUCUUUCCGUUAAUUUGUUGUUGCAGAAAAUUGCUAAAAAUAUUUGAAGAAUUUUAUAAACACUUUUAGAAAGCGAAAGAGAGAGAACUAAAUCUCUUUUCUUUGUGAUAAUCUCCUGCAAAACGUAACUAAAAUUAAAAGUCAAUGGCACUUUAUGCUAAAAUGUAACUUAUAGUAGCGCUGUGUUGAGGCAAGACAGAGAAAAAGAGAGAUAGAGGGAGUGAGUGGAGAGAGUGGAGUGUGAUCCCCGAAGGUUUCAUUGCAUUGUCCAUCGGCCCCUGUUGAUGUGGUGGAUCGCAAGCGUUUCAUUGUGCAGGCCGUGGAGGUGGAACCCGACAACACCACGCUGUAUCAUGUGUGAGACUGCAGCGAAGGGAAGGAUGUAAUGUGGGACCAGUAUGAGGAGCACCAGCUGGGACCGCAGCCUAGAGUGGCGAGAGAUUGCACUGAGAAACCCACAAAUUACACAAUGAUUGCUUAACUAUGCUUAACUGCACACGUACUUUAUAUUAUUUAUAGUUAUUGAUUUAGACUUAGUCUAUUACUACACACAUUCCAUUCCCCUCUCUUCCCCCCCGUAUUCAGUAUUCUGUCUGUGCAGCCUAAAUAUUAAUUAUUUAUUUAGGCUUCUUUCCAUGUUCCCCAAUGUUUAAGUUUAAAUGUUUUCGCAAUAAUUCAACAGAAAUUUCACUUUUGCCACACAUUUUUUUUUUUCGUAUGCAAAUUUUGUAGCUUUAAGCCCAGCCAUUCCCAGAGAACGAUGCAAGAGAAUAUACAA